GACGAACGCUGGCGGCGUGCUUAACACAUGCAAGUCGAACGGAAAGGCCCUGCUUUUGUGGGGUGCUCGAGUGGCGAACGGGUGAGUAACACGUGAGUAACCUGCCCUUGACUUUGGGAUAACUUCAGGAAACUGGGGCUAAUACCGGAUAGGAGCUCCUGCUGCAUGGUGGGGGUUGGAAAGUUUCGGCGGUUGGGGAUGGACUCGCGGCUUAUCAGCUUGUUGGUGGGGUAGUGGCUUACCAAGGCUUUGACGGGUAGCCGGCCUGAGAGGGUGACCGGCCACAUUGGGACUGAGAUACGGCCCAGACUCCUACGGGAGGCAGCAGUGGGGAAUAUUGCACAAUGGGCGGAAGCCUGAUGCAGCAACGCCGCGUGCGGGAUGACGGCCUUCGGGUUGUAAACCGCUUUCGCCUGUGACGAAGCGUGAGUGACGGUAAUGGGUAAAGAAGCACCGGCUAACUACGUGCCAGCAGCCGCGGUGAUACGUAGGGUGCGAGCGUUGUCCGGAUUUAUUGGGCGUAAAGGGCUCGUAGGUGGUUGAUCGCGUCGGAAGUGUAAUCUUGGGGCUUAACCCUGAGCGUGCUUUCGAUACGGGUUGACUUGAGGAAGGUAGGGGAGAAUGGAAUUCCUGGUGGAGCGGUGGAAUGCGCAGAUAUCAGGAGGAACACCAGUGGCGAAGGCGGUUCUCUGGGCCUUUCCUGACGCUGAGGAGCGAAAGCGUGGGGAGCGAACAGGCUUAGAUACCCUGGUAGUCCACGCUGUAAACGGUGGGUACUAGGUGUGGGGUCCAUUCCACGGGUUCCGUGCCGUAGCUAACGCUUUGAGUACCCCGCCUGGGGAGUACGGCCGCAAGGCUAAAACUCAAAGGAAUUGACGGGGCCCCGCACAAGCGGCGGAGCAUGCGGAUUAAUUCGAUGCAACGCGUAGAACCUUACCUGGGUUUGACAUGGAUCGGGAGUGCUCAGAGAUGGGUGUGCCUCUUUUGGGGUCGGUUCACAGGUGGUGCAUGGCUGUCGUCAGCUCGUGUCGUGAGAUGUUGGGUUAAGUCCCGCAACGAGCGCAACCCUUGUUCACUGUUGCCAGCACGUUAUGGUGGGGACUCAGUGGAGACCGCCGGGGUCAACUCGGAGGAAGGUGGGGAUGACGUCAAGUCAUCAUGCCCCUUAUGUCCAGGGCUUCACGCAUGCUACAAUGGCUGGUACAGAGAGUGGCGAGCCUGUGAGGGUGAGCGAAUCUCGGAAAGCCGGUCUCAGUUCGGAUUGGGGUCUGCAACUCGACCUCAUGAAGUCGGAGUCGCUAGUAAUCGCAGAUCAGCAACGCUGCGGUGAAUACGUUCCCGGG
rnacentral:rRNA from 1 species